rnacentral:misc_RNA from 1 species
GUAGGUGAACCUGCGGAAGGAUCAUUAUUGAAUGAACAUGGAGUCGGUUGUCGCUGGCCCCUUCACUGGGGCAUGUGCACGCCUUCUCUAUUCAUCCACACACACCUGUGAACUUGUGAGACGGAUAGUAGUCCCCUCGGGGGUGAGCUCCGUCUGCUAUACAUAAACUCCAGUAAAUAAAUUUGAAUGUCAUCUGAUGUAACGCAUCUAUAAACUAAGUUUCAACAACGGAUCUCUUGGCUCUC